CACAGAGAUGCUGCUCAAGAACGGCAAGCACAAGCUAGUAGGCUCGCCAGAGGUCCAAGCAUGAAUUCUUCAUCAAGGAGGGCUCCUAUGGAUUUUGGUCCUAGGGGUUUAUCUUUGGGCACUCCGAUAUUUAACAUAAUUUAUUACCUUUGUUUAGUGGUCUUAAUCUGGUGGUGGGUCCAGGUAUAAGGUAAACAGUGACAGGUUAGCUCUUCUCGUGUGUGCCAUGGUAUCACAUCUCAACAUUUGAUGAAUUGUUAUGAAAGCAAAAGUAAGACCGGAAAGAAAUGAAUUUAAGAGAAUGAAGGAAUGAAAUCAGGGGCCAAGCAGUAAUUAGCCUACGUCAAUGUAAGAUACUACAUGGAGAUCUGGAAAAUAACGCGGUUUCAGAUUCUGUUACAUCCCGAUAAGCAAAACUAAGAUUGAGGUUGAGUAACUUGAGUUAUGUAAUCUUGAGGAAAUGUUAAUAUCCUUUCUCAAGGCUAAGCAAAUCAUGUGUUUUGUGUUGUUCUUGUAUGUUAAUAUCCUUGGUUUAUUCGAGAUUUGUUUGAAAUGGUGUCACGCCAGGUGGUUUUCGGGUGAGUAAAUAGGUCUGGAUCGGCUCCGCCCAGGCCGGUGGCUUGGACAACGGCUUAAGAUUAAAAAAAAAAAAAAAGUGAGCCAAGCCUGGUCCUCUUUUUUUUUAAAAUAAAUAUAUAAGUAAUAAUAAAUUAAUAUCUGCUGUACCGUACAUCCGCCUUGGCCGUACAGCAGUAAAAUUAAUCAAACAUGAAAAAAAUAUCAAUUUGGAGUUUAAGGAAAAAAAAAAUAUAAUAUCAAAUGUAAAGACAGUUUUGACCAGCAGAGCAGUUGUACCAAAUAGGCAGUUAAGCAUAGUUUAAUUCAAAUUAUUUUCACAACCACAAGCUAUUUAUAAAAAAAAAAAAGUAAGAAAGAAAGAAAGCUGAAUAUCUAUCAGAUUGAUUCAACAAAGCACUACCAGCAAGAAUCAUGAUUACUCAAUGAAGCAUCCGUGCCAUUGUAAAAGAGAGUGUAUUUAUCAUAUAGAUAGAAUCGACAUAAUUUACAUGCACGCCACACUCUUUUUUCUUUAAUUUUUAUAGUUUUGUCUCCCAUGAGUUUUUCAUGAUGGGAUUUUAAUGAUAAAAUUUUACACUUACUUAAGAUACAAGUGAACGAUGAAUUCUGGUCACUUUUUUCUAGCAAAAGUUCUAACGCAACCUAUUCUCUGUAUAUGAUUUCUCUGUUAGAAUAGAUAUUAAAGCAGAGUGUUAUGAAUUUGAUGAAAUACCAUUGAUUUCAUAAACUACGACCAGUUGUAUCAAGUUGAGUACACCUUCAGGCUUCUCACGGUUGUACGGUGAGAUCUUUCAGCAUACAGCAGCGGCCGUGAAUUCUCAUGUUGAGUACCACUGCAUCAAGCAUCUUACCCCCAGAAUUUUUUUAAAUAGAUGUCGAUACCUUCAGAUGAUCGAUCACCCCAAGGCCAAAGAGCAUAUGGAUGCUUAUUUUGACAGAAUGGAAAAGUUGUCAAACAACAUGAAACUAUCUUCUAGGGUUAGGUUUAUGUUGAAGGAUUCAAUUGAGUUGAGAAAGAAUAAAUGGCAGCAGAGGAGGAAAGUUGAAGGGCCGAAAAAGAUCGAGGAAGUGCACAGAGAUGCUGCUCAAGAACGGCAAGCACAAGCUAGUAGGCUCGCCAGAGGUCCAAGCAUGAAUUCUUCAUCAAGGAGGGCUCCUAUGGAUUUUGGUCCUAGGGGUUUAUCUUUGGGCACUCCGAUAUUUAACAUAAUUUAUUACCUUUGUUUAGUGGUCUUAAUCUGGUGGUGGGUCCAGGUAUAAGGUAAACAGUGACAGGUUAGCUCUUCUCGUGUGUGCCAUGGUAUCACAUCUCAACAUUUGAUGAAUUGUUAUGAAAGCAAAAGUAAGACCGGAAAGAAAUGAAUUUAAGAGAAUGAAGGAAUGAAAUCAGGGGCCAAGCAGUAAUUAGCCUACGUCAAUGUAAGAUACUACAUGGAGAUCUGGAAAAUAACGCGGUUUCAGAUUCUGUUACAUCCCGAUAAGCAAAACUAAGAUUGAGGUUGAGUAACUUGAGUUAUGUAAUCUUGAGGAAAUGUUAAUAUCCUUUCUCAAGGCUAAGCAAAUCAUGUGUUUUGUGUUGUUCUUGUAUGUUAAUAUCCUUGGUUUAUUCGAGAUUUGUUUGAAAUGGUG
rnacentral:lncRNA from 1 species